AGAACGAACGCUGGCGGCAGGCUUAACACAUGCAAGUCGAGCGCCCCGCAAGGGGAGCGGCAGACGGGUGAGUAACGCGUGGGAACAUACCCUCCGGUUCGGAAUAGCUCAGGGAAACUUGGAUUAAUACCGGAUACGGCCUAGCGGCGAAAGAUUCAUCGCCGGAGGAUUGGCCCGCGUCUGAUUAGCUAGUUGGUGGGGUAAUGGCCCACCAAGGCGACGAUCAGUAGCUGGUCUGAGAGGAUGAUCAGCCACAUUGGGACUGAGACACGGCCCAAACUCCUACGGGAGGCAGCAGUGGGAAUAUUGGACAAUGGGCGCAAGCCUGAUCCAGCCAUGCCGCGUGAGUGAUGACGGCCUUAGGGUUGUAAAGCUUCUUUCGCGUAGGGACGAUAAUGACGGUACCUAGACAAGAAGCCCCGGCUAACUUCGCGCCAGCAGCCGC
rnacentral:rRNA from 1 species